rnacentral:rRNA from 1 species
UACGUAGGGGGCAAGCGUUGUCCGGAUUUAUUGGGCGUAAAGAGCGUGUAGGCGGUCAUGUAGGUCCGUUGUGAAAACUCGAGGCUCAACCUCGAGACGCCGAUGGAAACCAUGUGACUAGAGUCCGGAAGAGGAGAGUGGAAUUCCUGGUGUAGCGGUGAAAUGCGCAGAUAUCAGGAAGAACACCCGUGGCUAAGGCGGCUCUCUAGUACGUGACUGACGCUGAGACGCGAAAGCGUGGGGAGCGAACAGG